UACGAAGGUGUCUAGCGUUGUUCGGAAUCACUGGGCAUAAAGCGGGCGCAGGCGGACUGUCAAGUCAGGGGUGAAAUCCUAAGGCUUAACCUUAGAAUUGCCUUUGAAACUGACAGUCUGGAGUGUGUGAGGGGGUAGCGGAAUUCCGAAUGUAGAGGUGAAAUUCGUAGAUAUUCGGAGGAACACCGGUGGCGAAGGCGGCUACCUGGCACACAACUGACGCUGAGGCCCGAAAGCGUGGGGAUCAAACAGG
rnacentral:rRNA from 1 species